CUGCGGUGUCAACGUGACUCUGCUCUCCCUGCGCCCUAAUUGGGCGUCGCCUGUGCAGGCCCUCCGCUGUGUGUGGAGGGCUGUGGCCUUGUAUCUCUAGGGAGGGAACAUCUUUUGUCUCUCGGCAAGAAGCUUUCCUCCGGGAAAGAUAAAGUAAUCGAUAGGGUCUUUUAAAUAGCUCCGCGUUUCCUGUCGGGAGAGGAGUAUCAGCGCGCACACCAAAUCUGCUCUGGAUGGAUCCUGUGUACGGUGUGCCAUGUUGAAACUAGAGAAUGAGACCUGGAUACCACCGUGCCAUCUUUGAACCAAUGGCAGAGUCUCGCCCAUCUCUUGGCCUCUUGAAUUACUCUGGUGACCUAGUUAUUCAGUCCUGGGUGGACCUGCAGGUGGCCCUCAAGGAGGGUUUCCUCUGAGUGAACACUUUUCUAGAAGGAGACCAGGGUGCUUCUUUCUUUUCUUCUAGCAAGAUGUGUGACGUGAGAGAUGGGAAAGUUGGGGCAUUUAGAAUUGAAGUGGUGAGAACAGCCCAGGGUGGGAUCAGGAGUGCCUUGCCCUCCACCUAGUGUGACUGCCAUCUUCUAGAAGCUCCAGGUCCUUUUCUUAAUGGGAAGCUGCACUGCUGUUCCUUAGAUGUGACAAGAGGGGAAGUGGGGCCAGGUGGCACUGGGAGCAGUUCUUAGCCGAUUCCUGGAUUCCGAGCUCUGGAGGACGCUACUUGGGCAUAACACGGAAGUGCACAAAAGUGAACAGCCCUGUGAAUUUCCACAAACUGAACACAGCUGUGUAACUGGCACCCAGUUCAAGAAACAGAACAUGACCAGCACCUAAAAGCCCCCUUCGUUUUCCCCCAAGAUAAUCACUAUUCUGACUUCUAACAACAUAGAUUAGUUUGGGCUGUUUUUGAACUUCCCGUAUAUCUGAUCGGACAGUAUGUAGACUCUGUGUCUGGCAAUUUUUACUCCGUAUAUGUUUGUGAGAUGCGUCCACAUUGUUUGUAGUUGCUGUGAGUUGAAACUUGCUCCUUUUCGUUUGUGAAUGCCAUGUCGUUGUAUGAAUACACUACUGUUGACCCAUUCUCUCC
rnacentral:lncRNA from 1 species